UAUUUGAGAUGAGUCGGUCAGAUU
rnacentral:piRNA from 1 species